rnacentral:rRNA from 1 species
AUUGAACGCUAGCGGGAUGCUUUACACAUGCAAGUCGAACGAGUGGCGGACGGGUGAGUAAUAUAUCGGCACGUGCCCAGUAGGGGGGGGUAACUACUCGAAAAAGUGGCUAAUAACGCAAACUAUUGGAGCGGCCGAUAUCGGAUUAGCUAGUGGGUGGGGUAAAGGCUCACCAAGGCAACGAUCCGUAGCUGGUUUGAGAGGACGACCAGCCACACGGGGACUGAGACACGGCCCAGACUCCUACGGGAGGCAGCAGUGGGGAAUUUUGGACAAUGGGGGAAACCCUGAGCCAGCCAUCCCGCGUGUAUGAGAAGGCCUUCGGGUUGUAAAGUACUUUUGGCAGAGAAGCGGUAUCUGCAGAAUAAGCACCGGCUAACUACGUGCCAGCAGCCGCGGUAAUUC